CUGAUUCCAAUAAAUUGUAGGAAUUUGUGUUUUGAUGAGAGGAAAACUCACUUUUGGAGAGUUGAGCAACGCUGAUGGAACGGUCGUUGAUUUGAUCGGCGCUUGGCCUGAUGUCCAGACACGGAUUCAACAGAAAUUGUGUCUGCACAUUGUUGGAGUGGAAAUUGUGACUCGUACCUCUGUUUCGAAGCGCCUGUUUCCACAGGAGAUUGCUGAGUUCCUCGGUCCACGCUUUCUUGAUGUCUUCGCUCGCGCAUUGCAGCGUGUACGUGUCGCCGGGUUUUCUCUUGCGGAACCAUAUUUCGAACUUGGUCGGAGAGUCCGCGAUCACCGCGGUCAGGCCAAUGUCCGUUGUUUUGAUGCUGUGCUUGUAGAUGUAAAUAUCCAAGUUCUGGAAAAAUGGUUGAAGGGGUGCACAAUUAAUCGUCGCACCGGGCCAUCGUCCCAGGAGGUAGCGGAUUCGGAAGGAGCGAGAGAUCUCCGUCUCGCAGGGCUGCCGAGUGCGGAAACGCUUCUGGCAAACUCGAGGGCUUCGGUGCACUUGUUCCUGGCGAUGCGGCACUGUUC